GUUAAUAGCCAUUUUUAAAUUAACACGAUAAGCUUUGAAUAAACAAGCGUAUAAUUUAUGCGCGUACAUGCGCGUCUUACAGACGGGAGAAUCUUUUUUGGCGUUCGUAUGCGACAUUCAGGAAAGAAUGUUUAAAUAAUGAUAAAAUUAUCUAUUACCGUAAUGUAGUUCUUAUACAGUUUACUACCUGAAAAAGUAUCAACACGAUCAGAAGAGGUAUAACGCCGUAAAAUAGUUAAUGUAAAAUGGAAACGGCGGAAAUCGAGGACGAACGAACUCAUAUACGUCCCAUAAAAUUACCAGCAGCUGUCGAAGUGUUUGCAAAUUUGAAAAAUGCUCAAAAAUUCGCCAUUGACAUUGGCUUAUCAUUGACAAAAAUAGCUUACUAUUCAACAGUUAGUUAUCGCAAAGCAUUGUAUGAAGAUACAGGAUUGGGAAACAGUGGAGAACGUGCAUACAAAGUGCAUGAAGGGAAUAGGCUUCACUUUGUUAAAUUUGAAACAAGAUACAUUGAAAAUUGUUUGGAUUUUGUAAAAGAGAAUUUAGUAAAUGUUGAAAGAUUUCAAGGUAAAAGUAUUAAAGUAACUGGUGGAGGGGCAUACAAGUAUACUCCUUUGUUACAAGAAAAAUUAGGCUUAACGGUUGAUAAAGAAGAUGAAAUGACAUGUUUAAUAAAAGGUUGCAAUUUUUUACUUAAGAAUAUCUCAUGUGAAGCAUUUGAGUUUGAAAGACAUGGCAAUCCUGAAUAUAAAUUUCAAAAGGCUGGUCUUAAUAUAUUUCCAUAUAUGUUAGUAAAUAUUGGUAGUGGAGUCAGUAUUCUUAAAGUAGAGUCUGAUCAAGUAUUUGAAAGGGUUGGUGGGACAGCUACAGGGGGAGGAACAUUUUGGGGAUUAGGUUCUUUGCUGACAAAAAGGAAGGGCUUUGAUGAAUUACUGCAACUUGCAGAAAGAGGAGAUCAUCGAAAUGUCGAUAUGUUAGUAAAAGAUAUUUAUGGAGGCGACUAUUCCUCUCAAGGAUUACCUGGAGACCUUAUUGCAGCCUCUUUUGGCAAAGUUGUGUCUUAUAAAGGUCAACCUAAAUUUUCGGAAGCCGAUCUCGCGAGAAGUCUUUUACUUACGAUAAGUAAUGAUAUCGGACAAAUAGCUAGUUUGUAUGCAACUGUACAUAAAAUGGAUAAAGUUUAUUUCGGUGGUUACUUUCUACGUAAUCAUCCAUUAUCAAUGCAUACCAUUUCAUAUUCCAUCAAAUAUUGGUCAAAUGGUAAAGUAAAGCCCCUAUUUCUUCGUCACGAGGGUUACCUUGGUGCAAUUGGAGCAUUUUUGUAUGGUGCUGAACAAUCUAAUGAACAUAGUUGGUUAGAAAAUUAUGCAGGGUCGUCAGGUUUUAAAGAUUCGAUAUCUACCAAUCUCGGAAUUAAAGUGGAUCAGUUGGAAAUUGACCAAGCAGAAAAUGCUGUUACAUUUUGUCCACUUUUAAAAGAUCCCUCAUCUUAUAACCCUGAUACAACAGACCUUGCUCAAGAUAAGGAAGCUAGAGAUUACUGGCUUCAGUGUUUUGAAGAAUCAGUAGAUAAAUUUGUGGCAAGAGCUAUUCAUAGUCAGCCACAUAGUCCAACUGCAAAAGAUAGAGCAACAAAGUUGAAAGAGAAAUAUGUUAAUAGACUGCAUUACCUACAUCUCCAACCAUUCGCUUAUGGAACACUCACUGUAAGAGUAUUACUAGAUACUAUUGAACAUUGUAUGAAGGAAUUUGACUUUCCUGACCCUUAUUUGCAUCAAAAAAAGCAAGAGAACGAGGAAGCGUUAAAACAUUUGAAAAAUCGCAUAAUAGCUAUUGAUUACUUGGAAGGAGCGGACAAAAUCAAAGCUUUGAUACUUGGAGUUCUAAGCGGUAAUAUGUUUGACUGGGGUGCUAACGCGGUCGCGACAUUGAUGGAAACCACCGACUUCGGUUUUGCUGAAGCUCAAGCAAAAAUACCGGGUAGACCUUGGCUACAAGAUGAUUUGGACGAUUGGAUAGAUAGAUUAGAAACAGGACCACCCCAUAAAUGUGCCGCUAUUUUUGUUGACAAUAGCGGGGUUGACAUAGUAUUGGGAAUUUUACCAUUCGCAAGAGAUUUGCUGUUACGAGGGACAAAGGUUAUUCUGUGUGCUAAUUCUAUGCCAGCCUUGAACGAUGUGACGUAUCCAGAAUUGGUUGUAACAUUACGGGACGCAGCAAAAAUAUGUAAAGUUAUUAGGCAGGCUCUAAAAGAAAACCGAUUGAUCGCUAUGGAAACAGCUCAGGCUGGUCCUUGUUUGGACUUAAGCCGAUUAAGUUUAGAUUUAUGUCUCGCUAUGGUGAAACAUAAUGUCGAUCUUAUCGUACUCGAGGGAAUGGGAAGAACCCUUCAUACCAAUCUUCAUGCAAAACUGACCUGUGAAUGUUUAAAAUUAGCUGUCGUUAAAAAUCGAUGGUUAGCGCUACGAUUGGGUGGUGAUAUGUACGCUGUAAUAUGUAAAUACGAACGACCACCGCAAGAAAUUAAAAUAUACGAUAUAGAGAUGAAACCGACGGAAUGUCCACCAGAAUGUGUAGAGACAGUAACGGAGAUUUGCACCUGCGAUAUUAAAAAAUAAAUAACAAUAAGGAACUGAAAAAUCAUACAUUAAAGUAUUUCUUCACUUACGUUUAGAUGUAUAUACAUGUGUAUAUGAACAAAAAAUUAUGAAUCGAGGUUAUGGAAUGUUCAAUAUUGUUGAAUUAAGCAACUUUUACAAUCCAGCCUACUUGUUGUUCAAGUAUAAAAACUUUAGGGUUGACAUGGAUGAAUCACGACUAACACCUAGUCAAAGACAAUAAAAUUAUUUUCUCAGUAAUUUAAAGAGGUUACCGUAGUUUAAACGAUAAGCGAUGCGAUCAAUUAUGACAAAGAUAUGUAUCAUAUGAUAUUGUAUAGUAUAUCUUCUGUGAUAAUGUAAUAUUCAAAAAGGAAGUUACAUAUACGUGGUAAAUUAGAACAAUGAAUUGGUACAUCAUAAUAGAGUAUAUAUAAAAGGAAGAAAAGAAAUAUAUUAAGUUAGUACCUCCUAAUCUUGAGAUUAGAAAUGAGCGGUUUCAAAUGACAUUGUUUUGCAGCAUAAUGAACUCAAAUAUUCCUUUUUAUUAUAAUAUUAUGAAAACAAUUUAUUAAUUCUGACAGUAUUUAUGAAUACGCUAUACGUUUUUAGAAAUUACCAAUUUGUGAAGAUAUACUUCCAGAUUAUACAACUGCUACCAAAAUGAUAUUAUAAACUCUUUUUUUUUUUCAAAAAAUUUUAUAAAAUAAAAUGAUAAAAACGCGGAGUUUAUAUACAAAGUACCGAGUGACUUUAAUAAAAUGAAGACAAUUUGUUGAAACUUGAAAUUAAUUACCUUGUUCCACAAUAACAUGGUUUUCGAAACAGAGAUUUAUAUGUGAACAGUUUGUUAAUACUUGAUACAAAUAUAUGCGUAUGUGAUACACGAAUUGCUUUGUAAUAUGUAAAUAAAAUAUGAAUUUUCGAGAUCCAA